rnacentral:rRNA from 1 species
AGGGGAGAGGGAAUGAUCCUGGCUCAGGACGAACGCUGGCGGUGCCUAAUACAUGCAAGUAGAACGCUGAAGAGAGGAGCUUGCUCUUCUUGGAAGAGUUGCGAACGGGUGAGUAACGCGUAGGUAACCUGCCUUGUAGCAAGGGAUAACUAUUGGAAACGAUAGCUAAUACCGCAUAACAAUGGAUGACUGUCAUUUAUUUGAAAGGGUUCCCUUGGUCCACUACAAGAUGGACCUGCGUUGUAUUAGCUAGUAGGUGAGGUAAUGGCUCACCUAGGCGACGAUACAUAGCCGACCUGAGAGGGUGAUCGGCCACACUGGGACUGAGACACGGCCCAGACUCCUACGGGAGGCAGCAGUAGGGAAUCUUCGGCAAUGGAAGCAACCCUGACCGAGCAACGCCGCGUGAGUGAAGAAGGUUUUCGGAUCGUAAAGCUCUGUUUUAAGUCAAGAACGGGUGUGAGAGUGGAAAGUUCACACUGUGACGGUAGCUUACCAGGGCCCGAGGGCUAACUACGUGCCAGCAGCCGCGGUAAUACGUAGGUCCCGAGCGUUGUCCGGAUUUAUUGGGCGUAAAGCGAGCGCAGGCGGUUUGAUAAGUCUGAAGUUAAAGGCUGUGGCUCAACCAUAGUUCGCUUUGGAAAAAGUCAAACUUGAGUGCAGAAGGGGAGAGUGGAAUUCCAUGUGUAGCGGUGAAAUGCGUAGAUCACCGGUGGCGAAAGCGGCUCUCUGGUCUGUAACUGACGCUGAGGCUCGAAAGCGUGGGGAGCGAACAGGAUUAGAUACCCUGGUAGUCCACGCCGUAAACGAUGAGUGCUAGGUGUUGGAUCCUUUCCGGGAUUCAGUGCCGCAGCUAACGCAUUAAGCACUCCGCCUGGGGAGUACGACCGCAAGGUUGAAACUCAAAGGAAUUGACGGGGGCCCGCCCAAGCGGUGGAGCCAAAGGUUUAAUUCGAAGCAACGCGAAGAAAGACACCAGGUCUUGACAUCCCGAUGCUAAAACUAGAGAUAGAAAGUUACUUCGGUACAUCGGUGACAGGUGGUGCAUGGUUGUCGUCAGCUCGUGUCGUGAGAUGUUGGGUUAAGUCCCGCAACGAGCGCAACCCCUAUUGUUAGUUGCCAUCAUUCAGUUGGGCACUCUAGCGAGACUGCCGGUAAUAAACCGGAGGAAGGUGGGGAUGACGUCAAAUCAUCAUGCCCCUUAUGACCUGGGCUACACACGUGCUACAAUGGUUGGUACAACGAGUUGCGAGUCGGUGACGGCGAGCUAAUCUCUUAAAGCCAAUCUCAGUUCGGAUUGUAGGCUGCAACUCGCCUACAUGAAGUCGGAAUCGCUAGUAAUCGCGGAUCAGCACGCCGCGGUGAAUACGUUCCCGGGCCUUGUACACACCGAGUUGUCACACCACGAGAGUUUGUAACACCCGAAGUCGGUGAGGUAACCUUUUGGAGCCAGCCGCCUAAGAUAGGACAGAUGGAUAUAGGGUGAGGUCGUAACCCGGUAGCCGUAUCGGAAGGUGCGGCUGGAUCAC